rnacentral:rRNA from 1 species
GAUGAACGCUAGCGGCAGGCCUAAUACAUGCAAGUCGAACGGGAUCCAGAUCAAAGCUUGCUUUGGUCUGGUGAGAGUGGCGCACGGGUGCGUAACGCGUGAGCAACCUACCCUUGUCAGGGGGAUAGCCCGGCGAAAGUCGGAUUAAUACCGCAUGACAUCAUUGAGAGGCAUCUUUCGAUGAUCAAAGAUUUAUCGGACAAGGAUGGGCUCGCGUGACAUUAGCUAGUUGGCAAGGUAACGGCUUACCAAGGCUGCGAUGUCUAGGGGCUCUGAGAGGAGAAGCCCCCACACUGGUACUGAGACACGGACCAGACUCCUACGGGAGGCAGCAGUAAGGAAUAGUGGUCAAUGGACGGAAGUCUGAACCAGCCAUGCCGCGUGCAGGAGGACGGCCCUAUGGGUUGUAAACUGCUUUUAUACGGGAACAAACGUCGGUACGUGUACCGGUCUGAGUGUACCGUAAGAAUAAGGAUCGGCUAACUCCGUG